UUAAUAUAAUUCUUAUUUUCACAAAUUAUGUCUACAUUUUCUCAAAGUAAGUACUUCUCAUAAAAACCUAGACAGACCACUGAUAUUUUAAUUCUCCUACAAGGAAACACUUUAUGGUAUUUGGCAAAACAAUUUACUGUUCAGGGAAAAUUUGAUAAAAAUUUUCCUAUUACUGCCAGAAAACUGAUUUGUUUGAAAAGAUAAAUAUCUUCAAUAUCAUUUAGAUUGUUUUAUUGUUAAUGUAUUAUUUUUUAAAUAACAAGAAGAAAAAACAGCUAUAUUUAAUGGAAAUAUUUUUUUAUAGAUGCCACGUCUUACUACUUGCUGGUGAUUUAUCUCCCCACCUUAAAGACUCUGUAACUAUGAACAGUCGACUUUUUCCAACUAAUUCAACUUGGAUGAAGGAGGAUUUUUUGUUGCGCAAAAAUGUUCAAGAACAGAUAUCUACAUCAAUGUCCUCACUUUCAUUCUUAAGUCAUUUGUUACAAAAAAUAAGAAAUAUUGUCAUUCAUGAUGAUAUUGGUCAAAAGGUGAGAGGAACAUUAGAUAUUCCUAUGUAAAGAGUUUUUAUUAAUUAUAAAAGAUUC